rnacentral:rRNA from 1 species
GCUUGGCAAUAACAAGGCUGAAAAUUACCAUCCGCCCGCCAGAUUAUUACAAGUGAAAACUUAAAACUCAAAGGACUUGACGGUGUCCCACACACAACCUAGAGGAGCCUGUCCUAUAAUCGAUGAUCCACGAAAGACCUAACCUCUUUUUGCCUUACAACCUAUAUACCGCCGUCACAGGUUCACCUCUUGAAAGAAACGGAAGUGGACAUAAUAAUUUAACAUUAAAACGUCAGGUCAAGGUGUAGUUUAUAGAGAGGGCAGAGAUGGGCUACAUUUCCCUUUAAAGGAGAUACGGAUGGCCUAAUGAAAAUACGGGCCUGAAGGAGGAUUUAGUAGUAAACCAGAAUUAGCAAGUCUGCUUGAACAUAUUGCCCUGGGACGCGU